rnacentral:rRNA from 1 species
GUCUUGGAUGGGCUCGCGGCCUAUCAGCUUGUUGGUGGGGUGAUGGCCUACCAAGGCGACGACGGGUAGCCGGCCUGAGAGGGUGACCGGCCACACUGGGACUGAGACACGGCCCAGACUCCUACGGGAGGCAGCAGUGGGGAAUAUUGCACAAUGGGCGGAAGCCUGAUGCAGCGACGCCGCGUGGGGGAUGACGGCCUUCGGGUUGUAAACCCCUUUCAGUAGGGAAGAAGCGCAAGUGACGGUACCUGCAGAAGAAGCGCCGGCUAACUACGUGCCAGCAGCCGCGGUAAUACGUAGGGCGCGAGCGUUAUCCGGAAUUAUUGGGCGUAAAGAGCUCGUAGGCGGCUUGUCGCGUCUGCUGUGAAAGCCCGGGGCUCAACCCCGGGUCUGCAGUGGGUACGGGCAGGCUGGAGUGCAGUAGGGGAGACUGGAAUUCCUGGUGUAGCGGUGAAAUGCGCAGAUAUCAGGAGGAACACCGAUGGCGAAGGCAGGUCUCUGGGCUGUAACUGACGCUGAGGAGCGAAAGCAUGGGGAGCGAACAGGAUUAGAUACCCUGGUAGUCCAUGCCGUAAACGUUGGGCACUAGGUGUGGGGGCCAUUCCACGGUUUCCGCGCCGCAGCUAACGCAUUAAGUGCCCCGCCUGGGGAGUACGGCCGCAAGGCUAAAACUCAAAGGAAUUGACGGGGGCCCGCACAAGCGGCGGAGCAUGCGGAUUAAUUCGAUGCAACGCGAAGAACCUUACCAAGGCUUGACAUGUGCCGGACCGUCCCAGAGAUGGGGCUUCCCUUCGGGGCCGGUUCACAGGUGGUGCAUGGUUGUCGUCAGCUCGUGUCGUGAGAUGUUGGGUUAAGUCCCGCAACGAGCGCAACCCUCGUUCCAUGUUGCCAGCACUUCGGGUGGGGACUCAUGGGAGACUGCCGGGGUCAACUCGGAGGAAGGUGGGGACGACGUCAAAUCAUCAUGCCCCUUAUGUCUUGGGCUUCACGCAUGCUACAAUGGCCGGUACAAAGGGUUGCGAUACUGUGAGGUGGAGCCAAUCCCAGAAAGCCGGUCUCAGUUCGGAUUGGGGUCUGCAACUCGACCCCAUGAAGUCGGAGUCGCUAGUAAUCGCAGAUCAGCAACGCUGCGGUGAAUACGUUCCCGGGCCUUGUACACACCGCCCGUCAAGUCACGAAAGUCGGUAACACCCGAAGCCGGUGGCC